rnacentral:rRNA from 1 species
GGAGUUAGCCGGUGCUUCUUCUGCGAGUAACGUCACAGAUGUAAGGUAUUAACUUACACCCUUUCCUCCUCGCUGAAAGUGCUUUACAACCCGAAGGCCUUCUUCACACACGCGGCAUGGCUGCAUCAGGGUUUCCCCCAUUGUGCAAUAUUCCCCACUGCUGCCUCCCGUAGGAGUCUGGGCCGUUUCUCAGUCCCAGUGUGGCUGAUCAUCCUCUCAGACCAGCUAGGGAUCGUCGCCUAGGUGAGCCUUUACCUCACCUACUAGCUAAUCCCACCUGGGCUUAUCCAUCAGCGCAAGGCCCGAAGGUCCCCUGCUUUCCCCCGUAGGGCGUAUGCGGUAUUAGCAGUCGUUUCCAACUGUUAUCCCCCACAAAUGGGCAAAUUCCCAGGCAUUACUCACCCGUCCGCCGCUCGUCAUCUUCAAAAGCAAGCUUUUGAAAUGUUACCGCUCGACUUGCAUGUGUUAGGCCUGCCGCCAGCGUUCAAUCUGAGCCAGGAUCAAACUCUGA